rnacentral:rRNA from 1 species
CUUAGAGAGUUUGAUCCUAGCUCAGGAUGAACGCUGGCGGCGUGGAUAAGGCAUGCAAGUCGUGCGGUUCUGUUUCCGCAAGGGAACAGAAUAGCGGCGAACGAGUUAGUAACACGUAGGUACUUCCCCCGGAGACGGGCAUAAUUCCGCGAAAGCGGAACUAAUUCCCGAUAGUCCUCGUAAGAGUAAAGGAGCAAUCCGCUCCGGGAAAGGCCUGCGGCCUAUCAGCUAGUUGGUGAGGUAACGGCUCACCAAGGCUAUGACGGGUAGGGGGCGUGAGAGCGCGUUCCCCAACGAUGGGACUGAGAUACGGCCCAUACUCCUACGGGAGGCAGCAGUCGAGAAUAUUGGUCAAUGGGCGAAAGCCUGAACCAGCGACGCCGCGUGCGGGAGGACGCCCUUCGGGGUGUAAACCGCUUUUGCCGUCGAACAAGCCGCAAGGCUGAGCGUAGGCGGCGAAUAAGGGGGUGCUAACUCUGUGCCAGCAGCCGCGGUAAUACAGAGCCCCCAAGCGUUAUCCGGAUUUAUUGGGCGUAAAGGGUCCGUAGGCGGUUAGGCAAGUCUUAGGUUAAAUACCUGAAGCUCAACUUCGGGGGUGCCUGGGAUACUACUUAACUAGAAGGCGUUAGAGGCUGACGGAACGGUCGGUGGAGGGGUGAAAUCCGUUGAUAUCGACCGGAACACCAAAGGCGAAGGCAGUCAGCUGGGACGACCUUGACGCUGAGGGACGAAAGCGUGGGGAUCAAAAAGGAUUGACAAAAUACCGCGCAAGGGCGGUUUAGUCCCCAUAUGCAGAAACGUAUAUGGUUAAAAAACUUGGCUAUAUGCGGGAAACCCCAAAUUCUGAUAAAAAAAUCAGGACGGGUAAUCCGCAGGAAACCGUGUGUGUUGGGAAGUGGAUGGAGAACGGCGUCUGUACAGGCUGGCGACAGCGCAUUGUUGGUCUCGCUGAGGCGGGACGAGCACCGGACUAUUGCGCCGGUGAACGACAGUGCGGCCGAAUCCGAGCCGCAAGAAUCGCCGCCAUUCACAAAGGGCGAUCCUUCCUAGGAGGAUCGCCCCCACUUCCCAAUACACAACGGGAUCCUCAGAGACUGUACGCCAAGUCCCGCUAAAAGCGGGAAUGAUAUAGUCCGAACUGCAUAGUAAUAUGCAGAACGCAACAGAAAUGAUUGCGUCCGUAACAAGUUUGAAAAUUGGAAAUUGAUAAUUGAAAAUUCCAAUUUUGUUACGUGUAACAAAAUUGUAGAUACCCUUGUAGUCCACGCCCUAAACGAUGGACACUAGCUAUAUGAAGUGUCGACCCUUCAUGUGGCGAAGCUAACGCGUUAAGUGUCCCGCCUGGGAAGUACGGCCGCAAGGCUAAAACUCAAAGGAAUAGACGGGGACUCACACAAGCGGUGGACCAUGUGGCUUAAUUCGACAACAAGCGAAGAACCUUACCAGGGCUUGAAAUCCGCAUGAUCGUUCCGUGAAAGCGGGACUUCCUCACAAGGCAGGCGGACAGGUGCUGCAUGGCUGUCGUCAGCAUGUAUCUUGAGACGCUCCCUUAAAUGGGGGAACAUGCGCAACCCCUAUCACGCGUUUUAAGUGUCGCGUGAAACUGCCCGGGAUAACUGGGAGGAAGGCGGGGAUGACGCCAAGUCAGCAUGGCCCUCUGACGCCCUGGGCUGCACACGUGGUACAAUGGAGCCGACAAUGCGUUUGCCAAGCCGCAAGGCGGAGCUAACCGCACCAAACGGUUCCCCAGUUCGGAUUGAGGUCUGAAACCCGACCUCAUGAAGCCGGAAUCGCUAGUAAUCGCGAAUCAGCCAUGUCGCGAUGAAUACGUUCCUGAGUCUUGUACUCACCGCCCGUCACGCCAAGCGAGCUGAGAGUACCCGAAACCCCCGAUUUAUCGGGGUCUAAGGUAAGUUCAGUGAGAGAGGCGAAGUCGUAACAAGGCACGCGUAGCGGAAGCUGUGCGUGGAACA